AGAUUGAACGCUGGCGGCAGGCCUAACACAUGCAAGUCGAGCGGCAGCACGGGUACUUGUACCUGGUGGCGAGCGGCGGACGGGUGAGUAAUGCCUAGGAAUCUGCCUGGUAGUGGGGGAUAACGCUCGGAAACGGACGCUAAUACCGCAUACGUCCUACGGGAGAAAGCAGGGGACCUUCGGGCCUUGCGCUAUCGAGUGAG
rnacentral:rRNA from 1 species